UGCUUCAGAGGUGUGGAAUGCGCU
rnacentral:siRNA from 1 species